GAUGAAGAGAUUGAAGCCUGGGCUGCACACAAUCCUGUUAGUAACAAAAAAAGAAGGAAAAAAUGCUGUCCCAUUUGUCCAUAUGCCCAGCGCCAGAACCCAUUUAUACAUCUGGGUAGUGAGAAAAUCUAGGAAGAAGUCGCCACCCACUGAUGAUCUCAUCCAAGUUUACCAAAGACUUCAAAGCAGUGCAGGAGAGGAAUGGUGGCCUGUUCGAACAGGCAUGGACUGAAUCGCCAGCUCUCAUCUCCCUAGUCACUCCGAUGGCCACGUGUCGCUCCUCGAUCAACAGCGAUUUCAAUAAAUGAUGCGUUGAUGUGGGCAAAAAGUGAAUCCUUUCUCGCCUUUGAACUCUGGUGUUCGUCAUAUCAAUCCAUUUUGAUUGUCGAGCAACUUGUGGGCACACCUCAACUUGUUAGUGGGAAGUAAUUUGCAAUAGAGUGACUUACUUUUAUUGCUGUAUUUUUUCACUUCACAUCAUUGUUAUUUUGAAAAAGCCUGCCAAAAUUCUGUUGACUGUUUGUUGUCGACAAGAGUCUAUGUUUCAUGAAUAACAAGGCUGUGUUCUGUACAUUGUA